rnacentral:rRNA from 1 species
AACGCGAAGAACCUUACCAAGGCUUGACAUCCCCAUGGCGUAUGUAGAGAUACAUCUUUCCUUCGGGACAUGGGAGACAGGUGGUGCAUGGUUGUCGUCAGCUCGUGUCGUGAGAUGUUGGGUUAAGUCCCGCAACGAGCGCAACCCUUAUCUUUAGUAGCCAGUACGUAAUGGUAGGCACUCUAGAGAGACUGCCGUGGAUAACACGGAGGAAGGUGGGGAUGACGUCAAAUCAUCAUGCCCCUUAUGUCUUGGGCAACACACGUGCUACAAUGGCUUAUACAAAGUGAAGCGAAGUCGCGAGGCGGAGCAAAGCACAAAAGUAAGUCUCAGUUCGGAUUGUAGUCUGCAACUCGACUACAUGAAGCUGGAAUCGCUAGUAAUCGCGAAUCAGCAUGUCGCGGUGAAUACGUUCCCGGGUCUUGUACACACCG